rnacentral:rRNA from 1 species
AACGAACGCUGGCGGCAGGCUUAACACAUGCAAGUCGAGCGCCCCGCAAGGGGAGCGGCAGACGGGUGAGUAACGCGUGGGAAUCUACCGAGCCCUACGGAAUAGCUCCGGGAAACUGGAAUUAAUACCUUAUACGCCCUUUGGGGGAAAGAUUUAUCGGGGUUUGAUGAGCCCGCGUUGGAUUAGCUAGUUGGUGGGGUAAAGGCCUACCAAGGCGACGAUCCAUAGCUGGUCUGAGAGGAUGAUCAGCCACAUUGGGACUGAGACACGGCCCAAACUCCUACGGGAGGUAGCAGUGGGGAAUAUUGGACAAUGGGCGCAAGCCUGAUCCAGCCAUGCCGCGUGUGUGAUGAAGGCCUUAGGGUUGUAAAGCACUUUCACCGAUGAAGAUAAUGACGGUAGUCGGAGAAGAAGCCCCGGCUAACUUCGUGCCAGCCGCCGCGGUAAUAC